rnacentral:tRNA from 4 species
GGAAGGUUAGCUCAGGGGUAGAGCACUGCAUUCACACUGCAGGGGUCCGCAGUUCGAAACUGCGACUUUCCACCA